rnacentral:rRNA from 1 species
CUGACUGCUAUCGGAUUGGUACUAAGCCAUGUGAGUCGUUGUAGCAAUACAAGGCAUACGGCUCAGUAACACGUAGUCAAUCUAACCUAUGGACGGGGAUAACCUCGGGAAACUGAGGAUAAACCCCGAUAGAUCAUAAUGCCUGGAACGGUUUAUGGUUCAAAUGAUUCGUCGCCGUAGGGUGGGACUGCGGCCUAUCAGCUUGUUGGUGAGGUAAUGGCCCACCAAGGCUAUUACAGGUACGGGCUCUGAGAGGAGUAGCCCGGAGAUGGGUACUGAGACACGGACUCAGGCCCUAUGGGGCGCAGCAGGCGAGAAACCUUUGCAAUGUGCGCAAGCACGACAAGGUUAAUCCGAGUGAUUCCUGCUUAAGGAAUCUUUUGUUAGUCGUAAAACCACUAUUGAAUAAGGGGUGGGCAAGUUCUGGUGUCGGCCGCCGCGGUAAAACCAGCACCUCAAGUGGUCAGGAUGAUUAUUGGGCCUAAAGCAUCCGUAGCCUGUUCUGUAAGUUUCCGGUUAAAUCCAUUAACUCAACUAAUGGGCUACCGAGAAUACUGCAGAACUAGGGAGUGGGAGAGGUAGACGGUACUCGGUAGGAAGGGGUAAAAUCCUUUGAUCUAUUGAUGACCACCUGUGGCGAAGGCGGUCUACCAGAACACGUUCGACGGUGAGGGAUGAAAGCUGGGGGAGCAAACCGGAUUAGAUACCCGGGUAGUCCCAGCUGUAAACGAUGCAAACUCGGUGAUGCCCUGGCUUGUGGCCAGUGCAGUGCCGCAGGGAAGCCGUUAAGUUUGUCGCCUGGGAAGUACGUACGCAAGUAUGAAACUUAAAGGAAUUGGCGGGGGAGCACCACAAGGGGUGAAGCCUGCGGUUC